UAUCGCUGCCCUCCUUGGGCGUUUCCUCCCUAGACUUGGGCCGCUUGUUUUGACGAGCGGCCCUUUUUCUUUUCCGU
rnacentral:sRNA from 19 species